rnacentral:lncRNA from 1 species
GACCUAUGUGUUUGUCACUUUUAUACCAAACGGUCCAUAUUCUUUUCAAGUAGCAUUUUCUAAAUUCCAUUAUUAUUUUAUUCGUCUAAUUAACUGUGAUAAGUCAAUCAAUUAUUGUACUUUAUUAAUUAACAAGUCAUUGUUUUGUUUUCUCCUCUUUUCUUUUCUUUUUCUUGUUAAAAAACCCCUUUUCAUAAAUAUUAAUACUCCGUAUUGUUUCUGUGUUCCAUCUGAUACGAGAGCCACACAAAUUAAAAAUUGAUUUUGUUGUUAAAUCUGAUAAUGGUAUAAAUCCAUCUGUCAUCUGAUCAUAUUCAUACUGCUCGAAUGAACCUGUGCCACCGUCCGGAAAGAAAAAAUGGUUUACCGAUAUUCGAUUUGCAUCCUACCAAAUCAUGCACAUACUAAUCGUAUAUCUUUAUCCAUCUAUUUUUAACAAAAUAUAAUAUUAUUAACUAAAAAAUA